rnacentral:rRNA from 1 species
ACGGGAGGCAGCAGUGGGGAAUAUUGCACAAUGGGCGCAAGCCUGAUGCAGCGAUGCCGCGUGAGGGAAGAAGGUUUUCGGAUUGUAAACCUCUGUCUACAGGGACGAAAAUGACGGUACCUGUGAAGGAAGCCCCGUCUAACUACGUGCCAGCAGCCGCGGUAAUACGUAGGGAGCAAGCGUUAUCCGGAAUUACUGGGUGUAAAGGGAGUGUAGGCGGGACUGUAAGUCAGAUGUGAAAUAUGCCGGCUCAACUGGCAGACUGCAUUUGAAACUGCGGUUCUUGAGUGAAGUAGAGGUAAGCGGAAUUCCUUGUGUAGCGGUGAAAUGCGUAGAUAUAAGGAAGAACACCAGUGGCGAAGGCGAUCUACUGGACAGUAACUGACGUUGAGGCGCGAAAGCGUGGGGAGCAAACAGGAUUAGAUACCCUGGUA